rnacentral:rRNA from 1 species
UGAGUAACCUGCCCUUAACUCUGGGAUAAGCCUGGGAAACUGGGUCUAAUGCCGGAUAUGACUCCUCAUCGCAUGGUGGGGGGUGGAAAGCUUUUUGUGGUUUUGGAUGGACUCGCGGCCUAUCAGCUUGUUGGUGAGGUAAUGGCUCACCAAGGCGACGACGGGUAGCCGGCCUGAGGGAGGGUCGACCCGGCCACACGUGGGACUGAGACGACCGGCCCAGACCUCCGGUACGGGGAGGC